CCCUUAGAUGUUCUGGGCCGCACGCGCGCUACAAUGAUGAAUUCAACGAGUUUAUAACCUUGGUUGAAAAGCCUGGGUAAUCUUUUGAACUUUCGUCGUGAUGGGGCUAGACCCUUGCAAUUAUUGGUCUCCAACGAGGAAUUCCUAGUAAACGCAAGUCAUCAGCUUGCAUUGAUUACGUCCCUGCCCUUUGUACACACCGCCCGUCGCUACUAUCGAUUGAGCGGUUCAGUGAGGGCCUCGGAUUGGUCUCGGUCUGGCGUGCAAGCGCCGGCACCGAUGGUCGAGAAGAAGCUCGAACUCGAUCGCUUGGAGAAAGUAAAAGUCGUAACA
rnacentral:rRNA from 1 species